CUGGUGUGCGUGGAACGCGUAGGCGCGUGUUAUUAACGCGCCAGAACCUCACUGGAGCGCGUGGAACGCGUAGGCGCGUGUAUUUCACGCGCUAUCUCUGGGUCAAUGGAACGUCAGGCGCGUGAACUUCACGCGCAAGGGCCUCUCUGGAGCGCGUGCGGCGCGUGCCGAGAGUGGGUCUCACGCGCUCGUGCCUCUCCUGGGCGCGUGUAGCGCGUGUCGAGAGUGGACUCACUCUCCGAUCUUCAGACGGCGCGUGGGGGAGCGUGCGGCGUCCUUCUGGCCUCUGGUUUUCACCGUUUUUCUUGUCUCGAUGAGACGA